rnacentral:rRNA from 1 species
ACGAACGCUGGCGGCGUGCUUAACACAUGCAAGUCGAACGGAAAGGCCCCUUCGGGGGUACUCGAGUGGCGAACGGGUGAGUAACACGUGGGCAACCUGCCCUCAGCUCUGGGAUAACUCCGGGAAACCGGGGCUAAUACCGGAUAUUCACUUCCUACCGCAUGGCGGGUGGUGAAAAGAUUUUUCGGCUGAGGAUGGGCCCGCGGCCUAUCAGCUUGUUGGUGGGGUGAUGGCCUACCAAGGCGACGACGGGUAGCCGGCCUGAGAGGGCGAUCGGCCACACUGGGACUGAGACACGGCCCAGACUCCUACGGGAGGCAGCAGUGGGGAAUAUUGCGCAAUGGGCGGAAGCCUGACGCAGCGACGCCGCGUGAGGGAUGACGGCCUUCGGGUUGUAAACCUCUUUCAGCUCUGACGAAGCGAAAGUGACGGUAGGAGCAGAAGAAGCACCGGCCAACUACGU